UUAAGAGUACUGGCUCCUCUUCCAGAGGACCUAGAUUUGGAACACCAGCAUGGUGGCCUGCAAUAGAAGUAUUGUGAGUUGGUGCUGAGACGACAGCAAAUCACAGGAGGAGGUGACAAUGCAGCAGGAUCCUAAGCCUAGCUCCUCUGAGCAAGAGGUCCUCAUCGGUCCUUACAGGAUCCUCAAGACCCUUGGCACAGGCAACUUUGCUCAGGUCAAACUGGCUGUGCACCUCCACACAAAGAUGCAGGUUGCUCUGAAGACCCUGGAAAAGGACAAAAAGAACGCUACUCUGAUUUCCACAGAGCUAGAAAUAAUGAAAUUAGUAGACCACCCUAAUAUAACCAAAUUGUUCCAUGUCAUGGAAACCAGUGAGCAUGUCUGCAUGGUUAUGGAAUACGCUCCUGGUGGUGAUCUGGCUGGUCGCAUCAUAGAGGUGAGCUACAUUCAGGAAGAGGAGGCCCGACACAUCUUCACACAGAUAGUUUGUGCAGUUAAUUACUGCCACAAGAAUGGCAUUGCACACAGGGACAUCAAGCCAGAAAACAUUCUGAUGGAUGCUAGAAGAAACAUCAAACUGUGUGACUUUGGCCUGGCCAUCAAGGUUAACACUGAGCAGAAGUCAACAGUGUUCUGUGGCACCCUUCCAUACUGUGCACCAGAACUUUUCAGCAUCCAAAGCUAUGAUCCCAGGGCCCUUGAUAUCUGGAGCAUGGGGGUGGUACUAUACAUCAUGGUGACGAAGCAUUACCCGUUCAAAGCAACGACAUAUGACAAGAUGAGGGAGGAGAUGCGGGACCCACACUACUAUAUCCCGCCAAAGCUCCCAGCACACAUUGCCAACCUCAUCAUGCAGUUGUUCACUAUUGAUCCUUUGCAGAGGCCCAAGAUAGGUGACGUUGCGAAACAUCAGUGGCUGCAGGGCAGCGAGGAGCUUUCAAAAAUCACCCUACCCCAAGAGACACUCAGCAGCAAGCCCAGCCCCAGUAUUAUGGCAAUUAUGGGGGCCAUGGGCUACAACCCCAAGGACAUUACAGACUCUUUAUAUAAAAAAAAAUUUAAUAGCAUCAUGGCAACUUACUUAAUUUUAAAACACCAGUCACCCUACAGGGACAGCGCUAACCGCAAGUUUAAACUCAUUCAGCCUCGUAGUGCCACGAUACCCACAGAUCCUCCCACUGUCCAUGUCUUCCUAAAGAACAUCGGGACUGAGCCUGACAAUUCCACCUCUGCUCCAACAGCAAAAGACAAGCCCUACAACAACGCCAAGCUUGUAAGAAAGGACAGCAAGAAUCCCAGGAUAACUGAUGCUAUGGGCCGCCAGAAGACUCGUGUCCCUCCUGAAACAGCUGCCCAGUGUGGGCCUGUGCAGCGUCACCAGGAGCCUCUCUUGAAAAGCAGCUUGCUGAAGAGAAACGUGGCUUCCAGUGCUGUAUCCUCUUUUCCUGUGCAGUAUGACCGUGAUCAGUUCUUGAACAGUAGCUUGCAGAAGAGAGGGGUGGUUUCUAAGGCCGUGUCCUGUGGUCCUGUGCAGUAUGUGCAGAGGAGAAACAUGAUGUCCAAGGCUGUGUCCUGUGGUCCUGUGGAGUAUGAAGAUGAGCAUCCCCCGAGCCACAGCUCACAGAAAAGAGGGGUGGUUUCUAAGGCCGUGUCCUGUGGUCCUGUCGAGUAUGAAGAUGAGCAUCCCCUGAGCCACAGCUUGCAGAAGAGAGGGGUGGUUUCUAAGGCUGUGUCCUGUGGUUCCAUGCAGCAUGACCUCGAGCAGCUCCCGAGCUUUCAAAAAACAAAUAUGGUUUCCAAGGCUGUGUCCUGUGGUCCUGUGCAGCUCUCCAACAGCACCUUGCAGAAGGGAGGCCUGGUUUCCAAGGCCGUGUCCUGUGGUUCCAUGCAGCAUGACCUCGAGCAGCUCCCGAGCUUUCAAAAAACAAAUAUGGUUUCCAAGGCUGUGUCCUGUGGUCCUGUGCAGCUCUCCAACAGCACCUUGCAGAUGGGAGGCCUGGUUUCCAAGGCCGUGUCCUGUGGUUCCAUGCAGCAUGACCUCGAGCAGCUCCCAAGCUUUCAAAAAACAAAUAUGGUUUCCAAGGCCGUGUCCUGUGGUCCUGUGCAGCUCUCCAACAGCACCUUGCAGAAUGGAGGCCUGGUUUCUAAGGCCGUGUCCUGUGAGUCCAUGCAGCAUGACCAUGAGCACCUCCUAAGCGGCUCCAUGGAAAAGAGAAACACAGUGGCUUCCAGGGGUACGUCUCCAGACACAGCUCCCUCCAUGGACGUUCUUUCUGAGUACCACAUUUUCCAGAUGGAUCCCCAGGGUGAAUCCCUGACUAAGUGCAGCUCAUACAUCCACAGUAUAGCCUCUGUAUGGAGCUCUGAGGAGAAGCCUCAGGAUAUGGCCACCACAGACUGUCAUCACAAGGACAGAAGCUUGUCCUUGCAGGAAACAUCUGAACCAAGCUUUGCUGCUGCCCAGACCCAGUGUGUAACCACAGCCUCUCCUCAGAACUCAUCAGGCAGAUGGAAGCGGGCAAAGAGAAGGAUGGUGAAGUGUUUAAGGAGAUUAUGCUGCUGUCUGCCAGACCAAAGGAGAAGCUGCACUUCCCAGAGGAGAGUGCUUCCACAGGAGGUGGGAGAAAGUGGAGUCACACAAAACCAGGCUCUUUUGCAGUAGAUUUUGGGAGCCCCUCCAGCCAGUGCAUGGUGUCCGUGUACUUUUGACCAGCUUCAGGCAGGAUCUCUGUGAGUGCUUUAGUCUCUGGUGACUGCAGGUAUCUGGAGACCAGCAGGUAGGUUACCAGGGUAACCCUCUUGGUUCAUUUUUAUAGAGGUGCGUUUUGGGAGAUAAGAGAGCAUGAUGGAGUAGGAAUUUGGUUCAACUUCACCCCAGCCAUGCCUGGGAGAGCAGAGUUCAGGGGAACUGCACUGGCCUAAGAUAAACCAGGACAACUGUCCUAAAGACCUAUGAGAGGGAACUUUGCAAGAACAUCUGGGAGAGCCAUGUGGGAGAACAUUUUGAAUCACCAAUACCCCAGUUACUUUGUAAACCCAGUGCCUCAUUCCUGAGUGUAUGGUGUACGGGGCCUUUGGAAAGGUGACAGGAAAGGAGAGUAAUUAGCCAGGUCAUCUAAGACCAAGGGCAGCAUAGCCCCAGGCUGUAUGGAGCUAGUUAGCUUGCAUAGCAAAUGCCUCAUUCUGGAAGAAGAGGCCUGCAUGCGAUUGAUUUGGCCUCUGCAUGGACACCGACAGGCUCUUCAACAAGACAUUGAAUGUCUCAUUGGGGUGCAGGAGCAGACACAGGAAGGCUCUCCUCAUCCCCAACUGUGGAUUCUCUCCAUUCCCUCUGUGCUCUCAAACUGUGAAACCGAGCCAUGAAGCUCAGUCUGAGGUGAGAUGGAGGCCAUGACCAGCUUCCAGCUCUGGAGAACUGCUAAGGGCAGGCAUGUGAAGCAAGGUCCUGGGGUGGGCUGGUCCAGUUCCAAAGAGGUUGCUGAUCUCAGGACAGAACCAUAGUUCUGAGGACAUCUGAAUUCUCUUGGGAUCUGCAGGAAUCCAGUUCAGUUGAGGUGUUCCAGAAAGCGUCUCUCCUUCAGGUUCUUCCUGCCUCUGCCCAGGACGCCAUAGAAGAUUCGCCUGACAAGCUGGCCAGGGAUAUGACUGGUGUGUAGUACAUCGGAGAUCUUGGACCAGAUGCAGAGACCCUGAAGCUGAGACUGGAGGUUGUGAUGAAGGCAAGUCUCAUGGCCAGCCCAGUGAGGAGGGCAUUCUUCAAAGUGACUACAAAGUCUUCCUGUCCUUGAGCUGUGGCGCACUGGAGGAGGUGAAACCUGCAUGCCACGUUCUCACACGUAAACAACUGGUCCUGGAGAAAAGGAACAAACUUGUAUGACAUCACCUCUGAGGUAGAACUCAUUAAAUCAUUGGAAGAUCAUCAAACUCUUAUACACGGUUGAUACACCAUUAACCACUUACAUGAUAAUUGGGUGUGUGGUGAGGAGAAGAACUGGAGAGGUGCCCAAUGGAGGAUGGAGCAUUAUGGCUUUUCCAGCAGGCUACGUCAGUUGUUCACUUCCUCCUCCGGAGGCACAGGCUACCAGAAUAUCCAAUUGGAAAACAUCUAGUGGAUGCAGCAGGAAAUUCAAAGCUUUGUGACUUUGGUAUGGCAACUAAACUCACAAAGGGACAGGUGAUGGGGAAGCUCUGUGGCUCCCUGAUCUACCUGACCCCAGAUACCUUGACAGGUAGACUGUGUAAUGGCCUUACAGUUGACACAGAAUUUGGAUAUCCUUCUCAGUGUCAUGUUCACAGAUCUCUUUCCAUACUUAGAAACAAUUCUUUCAGGCAUGCACCCGCUCAUCACCACCACAAUGUGUCAUCUUUCUUGUUACUUGUCCAAAACCCACCAGGUUAUUAUUGCAAGCUUGGUCCUGGUCCUCCCUUCCCCGUGAUAGUGGGUCAUCUAGUGGAACACACAUGGCUGUACCACAUCCAAGAACAUGCACCACUUGUCUCUAAAGAAAUAAUAUUGAUGACCAUGAAGAACAUGUGUAUGAUUAGACACGGGUAAACUAUGUAAAACACAGGUUACAAAAUGAAAGUCACAGCUAAAUUCAAUGUUUUGAAACAUCAGUUGGGCUGUGGGGAUAGCUGUCUCCCAACUGUAAGGCCCCAUUUAAAUCCCAGUGCUGCAGGGUUUCUUGCCUAACACCCAGUGCUGCCCAGAGAAGAUGCGCUGUCUAGGUACCACAGACACGGAAAGCAAAACUGUGAAUGUUUGGAGGACAUUGAAGUUGGUGUGACUCUGGGUGACACUCCACUUGAUGAGGAGGCCCCAACAGAGUCAGCCUAGGACGCAACAACCACAGGGCUAAAUGAAGAGAACAAGAGCUUGUGCCCUGUGGAGCCCCCAACAGAGUCAGCCUAGGACGCAACAACCACAGGGCUAAAUGAAGAGAACAAGAGCUUGUGCCCUGUGGAGCCCCCAACAGGGUGAGUCUCACCCAGUGUCCCAGCCCCAGGUUGAACCUAUAGACUCUGGCUCCAAGAUGGCUCUGGCUGGAAGGGACCAAGGAGGUGAAUUACUUGAGUAUUUAGAACACUUUGCUGCUGCCUGCCCACCCAAAGUGGUGAAAUAGACAAGGCCUGGUGCAGAUGGACAGCCACUGAAGAGAGCCAGGCCAGAAUGUGAAUGUCAGGGUGCUGUUUGCCCACACACCCAGGGCACAGGCUCCACAGCCAUCCUUCAUCAGGUCUUUGCUGCCAACUCCCUGCUUGCUCAGCCCAGCACUGCAGGCUGCACCAAUAGGUGGUCUCACGUGACAUCUACCUGAUGAAGGCCUACCUCUCCAGCUCCUGUGGAACAGAUACCCCUGGAAGCCAGACUGUCUGGCAUACAGCCUCCUUCCUUCCAGCCUCUGUGGUGAUGUCCCUUCCUAUCCCACAGAAACAAUCCCUCAACACUUACUUGACUGCACUUGAGAUCGCUUUGGUUCCUGCAACAGGGUGGGUAAGGCCUCUCUGGGACUGGGGCUCAGAAUGUCUCUGUAGGAAGCAGCCGUGGGGCUACUUUGUAAUCAGUGUCCGCCUCAGGGGUAAGGUUUAGAAAGAACCAUGGAGCCAUGGAUGGCAGCCAGUGAUGCUGAGUGGACACUAGCUGCUGUGGUGCUGCAGUGCUCUUCUGGGUACCUUCUUGGUGGGGUGGAGCUCCUGGCGUCCACAGGGACCCACCAGCUGACCAGGAACACAGGGGGAUGACCUGUGGAUAUCAUGCAUUUGAGAUAAUUCUGAGUCCACCAAGUAUCUGCUUGUGGUAAAAGAUGGGUUUCUGAAGCCUGCCCUUGACAGAACACUAGUCCAGUGAAUACAAGGGAGGUGACUUAUGCAGGAUGCCCUGACCCAGAGGGGAAGGGGCUGACUUGCUUUUGGGAUUUGGUCUGUUGUGCUUAGCAGCAGGCUUUCCUCUCUCACCCUCUGGCCCCAGGCCUUUUUGGCAUCCUGGAAUAUUCUCAGGAGAGUACCAAGUUGUGUUCCCAGCUAUGUGGCAUGAAUGUGGUCAUGUCACUGGCCAGCCACUGCAUGACAUCAUACUUUUUACAGCCCCGACCAUGUAGUGAGUCCCAUUUGGCCCCACAUGGGAACAAGGCAGAGGCGCAGAUGGUCUUGUUUGUGUGGGCCGAGCAGGUGUGGGUAUGGGUGUGGGUGUGGUGUUCACUGGGGUAGGCCUCAGCUUCUGCUUCUACCAGGGCUGGGAAGGUGGUACAUUUUGUUGCUCUCUUGGAAACAAGUUAGGGGAAAUAGUCAAUAGGGAGUGCAGUGGAGAGGGAGUGAGAGGGGAGGGUAGAAGGAGAGAGAAGACUGACUGACUGACUGUCUGUCUGUCUGUCUGUCUGUCUGUCUGGUUUAUGAGGUCCUCUCAAGGAAAAUUGGGUUGCUUAGUUAUGGCCCUCAGCGUGCUUCUCUGUAUAUAAGGUGUGCCAGGAACCUUUGUUGCAGAAGAUGAUGGAAGGUGCCUUCACACCUGAUCUCCUGCUUCCUUAACCUGUCUUGUAGGGAAAUCACACAGCUCUGAAGACAUUUUCUAUGAUGGCUCAUUGGUGCUCAUCUUGUGGCCAUCCAAAGAGAAAAGCAGGGACGAAGCCCAGCCCGUGGCAGCAAGUUUCACGAUGGAACCCACAUUGUUAGGUCACACACAGAGGUGUGCAUGUGGCACUAACUAACCUGAACAUUGUCCACACAUGGCUUUGGUUUUCUACUGAAGAGCAGAGUACGGUGAGGAAGGGGUCCUUGAACCUAGCACCUUUACCAGUUGCUUGUCUAUAUCCUGCACACUCGGCAGCUGGGAGCCAAUGUGUUUCCUAGCUGCCUCCAGGUUUCAGGAUGUUCAGAUCCACAGUUCCACUGCAGCCCACAGAAUUCCUGCUUAUGAUGGAGGAAACGCCAGGGGCCUUAUCAGAGAAAUGGAGGAGCUUCUUCUUGAGGGAUGAACAAGUUAGGUCAGGGAACUGGGUCAUUCCUGAUCCAGGUCUUUGGCCCUAGCCGUGAUGUCCUCUGUGGCCCCAGGCUGGGCUUAGGAGUUCAGUGUCAGCUCCAGAGACCCACCAGCCUUCCUCCCGGGUCUCAGUUCUGCUGGCUGUAUUUGAUGGGUUCAGCAUUGAAACUUUCUUCGCUCUGUAUCACCUGGACAAGCAUAAAGGAGGUGGGAAGUGGGAGGACAGAGGCUCUAGUGUGACAUGUUGGUAGGGAGCCUUUUCUGACCACCUGAUCCCAAAGCCUGCUGCCAGGAAAAAGAGCUGGUCCAGCCAGGCUGCUUGGUGUCUCUUCCCAGGGGAGGUUACAAAGGAAGGAGACGGGCUUUGUGCUUGUCUCUCUUUAGUCUCUGACCACCAGUGGGAAUGAACAUGCUCUUCUCUGGCUGCAGCCUUCAUCCCAGGGAAUGUGAGACUUUGUGUCUGGUUAUCCAUUUGUCUGGAAUGGUCUUCCUUUCUUACAGCUGCUUGGCCAGACCUUGCUACCUGUAGCUAAAAUUGCCUCUACCUAGCAGCAGCAGCAGCAGCAGCAGCAGCAGCAGCAGCAGCAGCAGCAGCAGCAGCAGCAGCAGCACACUCCCCACC
rnacentral:sRNA from 1 species